GACNNUAACCUACCCCAGGGCUGGCCAUAGCCGCGGGAAACCGCGGGUAAUAGCCAGCGACGCAGCGGGCCGGCAUCGGUCUGCUGCCAAAGGUGUGACUCCGCCCUGGGACGGGCCGUCGUGGUAUUAGGUAGUUGGCGGGGUGAUGGCCCACCAAGCCUCUGAUGCCUACCGGGCGUGCGAGCGUGGCCCGGCACACUGGGACUGAGACACUGCCCAGACUCCUACGGGAGGCUGCAGUCGAGAAUCUUCGGCAAUGGGCGCAAGCCUGACCGAGCGACGCCGCGUGGAGGACGAAGGCCUUCGGGUUGUAAACUCCUGUCGAGGGGGAGGAAGGGGCGGCGGAGAGUCGUCCUUGACCGAUCCCUGGAGGAAGCACGGGCUAAGUUCGUGCCAGCAGCCGCGGUAAGACGAACCGUGCGAACGUUAUUCGGAAUCACUGGGCUUAAAGCGCGUGUAGGCGGGCCAGCACGUCGGCUGCUGAAAUCCCCCGGCUCAACCGGGGAACGGGCACCGAUACGACUGGCCUGGAGGGGAGUAGGGGGACCUGGAACU
rnacentral:rRNA from 1 species